rnacentral:misc_RNA from 1 species
GAUGAAGAACGUAGCGAAAUGCGAUAAGUAAUGUGAAUUGCAGAAUUCAGUGAAUCAUCGAAUCUUUGAACGCUCAUUGCGCCCGCCAGUAUUCUGGCGGGCAUGCCUGUUCGAGCGUCAUUUCAACCAUCAAGCCCCGGGCUUGUGUUGGGGACCUGCGGCUGCCGCAGGCCCUGAAAUGCAGUGGCGGGCUCGCUGUCACUCCGAGCGUAGUAGUUACAUCUCGCUCUGGGCGUGCUGCGGGUUCCGGCCGUUAAAAGCCUUAUUUACCCAAGGUUGACCUCGGAUCAGGUAGGAAGACCCGCUGAACUUAAGCAUAUCAAUAAGCGGAGGA